GAUGAACGCUAGCGGCAGGCUUAACACAUGCAAGUCGAGGGGCAGCGCGUCGUAGCAAUACGAUGGCGGCGACCGGCGCAAGGGUGCGUAACGCGUGAGCAAUCUGCCCGUAUCAGGGGGAUAAGCGAUGGAAACGUCGUCUAAUACCGCAUAACAACAGCCAUGGCAUCAUAGCUGUUUGAAAGCUUCGGUGGAUACGGAUGAGCUCGCGAGACAUUAGUUAGUUGGCGGGGUAACGGCCCACCAAGACCGCGAUGUCUAGGGGAACUGAGAGGUUGGUCCCCCACACUGGAACUGAGACACGGUCCAGACUCCUACGGAGGCAGCAGUGAGGAAUAUUGGACAAUGGCCGGAAGGCUGAUCCAGCCAUGCCGCGUGAAGGAUAAGGUCCUAUGGAUUGUAAACUUCUUUUGAGUGGGAGCAAUAAGGGUCUCGUGAGGCCCGAUGAGAGUACCAUUCGAAUAAGCAUCGGCUAACUCCGUGCC
rnacentral:rRNA from 1 species